GAAGAGGAGACGGAGGAGGAUAUCUGGACAGUGAGGAGGAGGAGGUGCCUCGGCCCAUGGUGAACAUCCCAGAGGACGGGGAGAGCCUGGAGGCCAGGUGGCAUUUUUCAAUGACGCUGGAGCCAGUGCCCAGGAAGAGCAAAGGGUGUGCUGCCAGCCCCUGGCUCACCCAGUGGCUUCAUCCCAAAGGACCCCAGGGACUGGGGGAAAGUACAUCAGCCAGGGGGCACUGCCAAAAUGCAUCACUGGGAGAGGAGGACAUCAUCAGGCUGGCCCAGGACCAGGAGACGCAAGUAGGUGAACCUGCUGGAGCUGCAGGGACAGGUGUUGUGGCUUGUGGGCGACCAGAACGAGGGACACGACAAAUUCCUGACCACUCUCCAGAGUCCUGCUGA
rnacentral:lncRNA from 1 species